rnacentral:rRNA from 1 species
GAUGAACGCUGGCGGCGUGCCUAAUACAUGCAAGUCGAGCGAACAGAUGAGGAGCUUGCUCCUCUGACGUUAGCGGCGGACGGGUGAGUAACACGUGGCUAACCUACCUAUAAGACUGGGAUAACUUCGGGAAACCGGAGCUAAUACCGGAUCAUAUAUUGAACCGCAUGGUUCAAUAGUGAAAGACGGUUUUGCUGUCACUUAUAGAUGGUUCCGCGCCGCAUUAGCUAGUUGGUAAGGUAACGGCUUACCAAGGCAACGAUGCGUAGCCGACCUGAGAGGAUGAUCGGCCACACUGGAACUGAGACACGGUCCAGACUCCUACGGGAGGCAGCAGUAGGGAAUCUUCCGCAAUGGGCGAAAGCCUGACGGAGCAACGCCGCGUGUGUGAUGAAGGUCUUCGGAUCGUAAAACUCUGUUAGUAGGGAAGAACAAAUGUGUAAGUAAAUAUGCACGUCUUGACGGUACCUAAUCAGAAAGCCACGGCUAACUACGUG